GACGAACGCUGGCGGCGUGCCUAAUACAUGCAAGUAGAACGCACAGUUUAUACCGUAGCUUGCUACACCAUAAACUGUGAGUUGCGAACGGGUGAGUAACGCGUAGGUAACCUGCCUGGUAGCGGGGGAUAACUAUUGGAAACGAUAGCUAAUACCGCAUAAUAUUGAUUAUUGCAUGAUAAUUGAUUGAAAGAUGCUAUUGCAUCACUACCAGAUGGACCUGCGUUGUAUUAGCUAGUAGGUGAGGUAACGGCUCACCUAGGCGACGAUACAUAGCCGACCUGAGAGGGUGAUCGGCCACACUGGGACUGAGACACGGCCCAGACUCCUACGGGAGGCAGCAGUAGGGAAUCUUCGGCAAUGGACGAAAGUCUGACCGAGCAACGCCGCGUGAGUGAAGAAGGGUUUCGGAUCGGAAAGCUCUGUUGUAAGAGAAGAACGGGUGUGAGAGUGGAAAGUUCACACUGUGACGGUAGCUUACCAGAAAGGGACGGCUAACUACGUG
rnacentral:rRNA from 1 species